GUGGACGCCAGUCUGCGUGGAGCCGACCUUGAAAUACCACCCUUUAAUGUUUGAUGUUCUAACGUGGACCCGUGAUCCGGGUUGCGGACAGUGUCUGGUGGGUAGUUUGACUGGGGCGGUCUCCUCCUAAAGAGUAACGGAGGAGCACGAAGGUUGGCUAAUCCUGGUCGGACAUCAGGAGGUUAGUGCAAUGGCAUAAGCCAGCUUGACUGCGAGCGUGACGGCGCGAGCAGGUGCGAAAGCAGGUCAUAGUGAUCCGGUGGUUCUGAAUGGAAGGGCCAUCGCUCAACGGAUAAAAGGUACUCCGGGGAUAACAGGCUGAUACCGCCCAAGAGUUCAUAUCGACGGCGGUGUUUGGCACCUCGAUGUCGGCUCAUCACAUCCUGGGGCUGAAGUAGGUCCCAAGGGUAUGGCUGUUCGCCAUUUAAAGUGGUACGCGAGCUGGGUUUAGAACGUCGUGAGACAGUUCGGUCCCUAUCUGCCGUGGGCGCUGGAGAACUGAGGGGGGCUGCUCCUAGUACGAGAGGACCGGAGUGGACGCAUCACUGGUGUUCGGGUUGUCAUGCCAAUGGCACUGCCCGGUAGCUAAAUGCGGAAGAGAUAAGUGCUGAAAGCAUCUAAGCACGAAACUUGCCCCGAGAUGAGUUCUCCCUGAGACUUAGAGUCUCCUGAAGGAACGUUGAAGACGACGACGUUGAUAGGCCGGGUGUGUAAGCGCAGCGAUG
rnacentral:rRNA from 1 species